rnacentral:lncRNA from 1 species
AACUCAGUAGAUAGAGUGUUUAGUACAACUAAGGAAAGCAAAGUGGGGUGAGGGAAGAGGGAGCAGGGCGUCUCUGAGACCAGAAGGAAGUGCAGGCCUGCAGUGUCUGUGACAAGUCCAGCCCAGGAAGGAUCAGGUUCAGGUCAGGGCGGCUGCACAGAGCGGGUCCGUGGGUGCGCUAAGCCUGCUGGGAAGCCAUUGGCUGGUUUUUGAGCGAGGAGUGGUUCUGGGCUGACACGAGUGCCCCCUGCUGGCGGGGAGCAACCGUGAAGCCCAGAGAGCCGCGCACGGAGGCUGCUGAAGUCAUCCAGAUUCAUCCCAUCACCUAAAACCUGGUAACAGUGGGCCACACAGAGUCUUACUGGUGAAAACCCUCAGCGAAGAUGUCAAGCAAAACAGCCAGCACCAACAACAUCGCGCAGGCAAGGAGGACGGUGCAGCAGCUAAGGAUGGAAGCUUCCAUUGAAAGAAUAAAGGUUUCCAAGGCAUCAGCGGACCUCAUGUCCUACUGCGAGGAACAUGCCAGAAAUGACCCUCUGCUGAUGGGGAUACCAACUUCAGAAAACCCUUUCAAGGAUAAGAAAACCUGCAUCAUCUUAUAGAGGAGAAGUCAAGCAGUCCCGCCCCACGUCCCAACAAAGCAAAUUGUGAGCAGCUCCUUAAAAAGAUUUACCUUCGGCUUAUUUGGUAACCACUGCUAAUCACUAAAAUGCUCUUAGCUUGGAAUCAUCGACUCUGAAGUCUUUAUUUUCCAAGUUGUCCUUGCUCUAAAAUACCCUUUACUGAAUUAAUACAAAAUAGCAGUCUCGUUUUCCCUUUGGUAACUAGUGUGUCAUAUGGGGUGACUGCUGAAGGAAAGUUGAUCUGGCCUUUUCAAAAACACCAUUAAAAUAUAUGAGUGAUCCAGUUAAGACCCCAAUUACCUGAGCAUCCGUCUAGAUUAAAAUGCCAAGACAACUUAAGGCCUAAAACCUUUCUAUCAUCGCGUGUUCUUAAUAGGGUUGUGCCAAUCUGUACAGUAUACAUGGGUGAGGAGUGUUGUGUAUAUAUAUUUGUGUGUUUGUAUAUACACAUCUCAAAGCUUAUUUCCGUACUGAAAUGUCUCUCUCUCCAUACCAUCUGUUCCUCAGCUCCAAAGCUAUACCUUGAUCGUGAGCUGUGUGUCGGUGGAAUUAAAUUCUUUGCUUGUAGUAACUGUGCACAAAGUCAAGAACUCCCUUACGAUUGUGUGCAUUGUAAUUGAGUAAUGAAGUCAUCUCUCUCCUCUUGAAAUCUUGCUGACCUCCUAGGCUACAAUAAACUGUGCCAAUUAAAAUGUUAAAACCUGAGCUAAAAGCCCUUUUAUAAUAGGAGGUAUGAAUUCACCAAGGGCUUUCAGGCUUCAGUGAUCCUGAGUCUAGAAAAGGGGAGGAGGCCCUUGGGUGGUACCCAGGGCCCAUAGUCUCGGGAUCAGGGGUAGACACAUCUGAAAUUUCCGCUCUCUAACCACGGGAACGAGACAGAGCAGCCUUGAGCCCGGCCGAGAGGGGAGCAGGAAUGCGUGGAAACCAGCUGCUCUCUGUGAUUUAGCUCACGUUCUCUGCCUCCCUGUAUCUUUCCUCUGCUGCCAGAACGUCUGUCUUCAGAGGUCAUCUUCACCUCCCCAAGUGGGUAGAAGGUGAUGGGGCAGAAACACCCAAUGAACGUAAAAGUAUCAAGACACUUAGGCUCUUUUCACAAACUGGUAGCAUCAGCCCCACCCUUACCUUUUCCACGCAACAUCCAAGAGGAUUGGAUUCAUUCAGUGGUUCACUACUUGGGUCCACAGGCUCCAGCAGCUGGUGUCGGGUUCCUUGAUUUCCUCUGGGCAUGAAGCCUGCCCCCACACAUGCACAGCAUUUGCAGCGGGGAUCCCAAAAGAAGGCAUCUCCUAUGGCCAAGAGGCUAUGUUAACUUUACCAGAGAGGAAGAGAGGGUCUUUAUUUUCAAUGCUCACUUACAUUCCCAAACCGUACACUCAGCCUUUGAUGUUAAGUCAGCGUCAGCUCGUUAAAAAUAAUGAUGGAUUAAAACCUUGUUCUCAAAAAGGAGUCAACCCCAAGAAGGAGUUAUGUACCAUGGUUUUCCCUAGUUCUGGACAAUCCAGCCCCGUGGCACAAGCCCCCUUCUCACAUUUGGGCUUUGAGUAUUAGGUUCAUUGCAGGCAAAUGCAACACUGGUUUUAAACUGCUCAAAUAUAGUCCGUAUUUUUCCCAGUCACCUAUCUACUCAGCAUUGUGAACCACCCUGCCUCGUCCAAGACCAUGUGAAAAUCACACCACCGCCCUUACACACUUGUCACCUACCCUUUGGUUCUGCAAUACAUCCAGUUUCCAAGGAAAUCACAGGCACCUGUUGCAGAGAGAAAGGUUUUUUUUUUUUUUUCCCUCUUUCCAAAGGUGAGAUCUGAAAUGCACAUUAAAGUGACAACUUUACAUUUAAUGCUUCACAUAAUGAGACAUGCUUUUUAAAAUAUUUUUCUAGCAGUAGUUUUAGAACACUAAUCUUAUUUUCUCUCUGAUUUUUACCAUGUUUCCUUAAAUAUUUAUAAUGCAGCUUGUUACAAAAUAUUGUCGUGAAAUUGCUUUUAUUAUACUGGUAUGCACACAUGUUUGGUAGCAAGCAUAGUUUAUCCUUUAGUCCUAAAACACGUUCUUUUACCUAACAGAAAAUAAGUAUGUUUUGCUAUAUAUUUGUUAGUAUGCUUGUAGUGCUAAGGAGUGGACUUGAGGUCCCAGGAGAGUUCACUUUUAUUUUUGCUGGCCAGAUAGAGUAAAGGCUCUGAGCACGAGCAGCUUGUAACUUCCUAACCAGGUAUAGGUCACGUUCAAGCAAAGUGAAAUGAAAUCCUUUGAUGCUGUAGCCAAGGGGGAAAAAAUUGGAGUUAAAUGUUGAUUUACUUAUAACUAGAUGUCUAUGUGAAAAAAAUAUAAUAUAUAUAUAUAUACACACAUAUAUAUAUGAUACACAGAAGUCACUUUUAUUUAUCAGGCUUUAUUCUACUCAUGAAGCCACAGUUAAACUGUUCUGCAGCAGCUGGUUUUUGAUGCUGAUGGACACGUCCAGGAUGUGUUAUUUUUUUCCCACUACCACUGUAAUGACACAUGUAAUCACUUUUGUACAUGCAGCUUCUUGGCUUCAUAGCUAUGAAGCUAUUGAAACAUGUUCACUAUCCUUAGUCUUUAAUGCUGCUUUGGUUAAAAGUGAUCUUUUUCUCUUCUGACAUCUUCAUUAGCUCAUCAUAAUGCUGUCCAUUUGAGGCCUCAGGCCCAUAGCAAGAUACGCUAAGCAGCAUUCCAUGACUCCAAAGUAUUUUACAGAAACACUUUUAAAAAAAAAAUAGAGAAACCCUUUCUAUAUGAGGUGGUUCACAAACUAGAGGUUGUAGUUACUUUUUUUCCUAAAAAGAAUCAGGUGUCUAACCUGUCCUUCCCGUACCAAAAUGAAAAGGGCCAUGUGUACCCUUUAAAGAAAAGACCUGAUUUGCUCUUUAUUUGCACUAUUUUUGUACUUUACUCAUCUUAAACCAUCAGGAAAAAAAAAAAAAUCACACCCAUGAUUUAGUAAUUUGGAGGCAUAGGUUAACUGAAGUCGUGAAGGAUGUGCCACACUUGCCCUUCAGAUGCCUUCUUCUUGACCAAUUUGCAGCUAAGAUCGUGUCAUCUGAGUGGUUACUCCCCAUUUUGAUAAGAUGUAUAUAGACCCAAGAAGUGAAUCACAGUACGUGUCAGUCCUUUCUCAAUAAAUCUAAUACCAGAGUGUUUAUAACUUGUAUUGACUUCUUUUAUGGUAGAGCUGUUAAUAGGGAAAAAAAAAUACAUUGAAUCAAAUAGAAUUAUCUGUAUGUGAACAUAGAGCACUUACCUAGAGCUGGGUGGCCUGGGGCAUCAUUGUCUAGCCAAUCCUGGGGCCCUGUGCUGUGUGACUUUGGACAAGGCAUGUCAUCCCUCUGGGCCUCCCAUUUCACCAUCUGUAAAGCAAGGGGCUUAAAGUAGAUAAUGGCUGAGAUCCUUCUGUUCCGUCCAACGGCCUACCCCCCCCUCUGCUGGUCCUGCCAACAUGUUGGUGCUAUAAGCUGCUUCAAGUAGAAAAUUGGUUUGUCUAUUGUGUUGUGCUCAUUUAAUAGCUUAGGAAAGGCAUUUUUGUUAUAUGGCUUGUUUUCUAGUUUUAUGGACUUGAUUACUGUAAUAAUGUCUUGUUUGUAGCCAUGUAACUAUAAACAUGUAGUCUCUUGAUGUCUCAGUAAAUUUGCAUUUGAUGUAAUAGUUGAUGGGGUUGUUGUUUUAUAACAUUCUUUGGCUCCUCAUCUGUCCAGCCUCUUAUUAACCUAAACAUUGUGAUCAUUGUUUGGAAAUCUGUUCUGUGGAAAGAAUAAAAGCAUUUACUUCACGGCUAAUGUGUUCACAGAUUUGAAAGACGUUUCAUUAAAGCACCAUUGCUCCC